UACAGAGGUCCCAAGCGUUGUUCGGAUUUACUGGGCGUAAAGGGUGCGUAGGUGGCGGGGUAAGUCUGGUGUGAAAGCUCCGAGCUCAACUCGGAAAAGCAUUGGAAACUAUCUCGCUGGAGGGUCGGAGGGGAGACUGGAAUUCUCGGUGUAGCAGUGAAAUGCGUAGAUAUCGAGAGGAAGACCAGUGGCGAAGGCGAAUCUCUGGACAGUUACUGACACUGAGGCACGAAGGCCAGGGGAGCAAACGGG
rnacentral:rRNA from 1 species